rnacentral:siRNA from 1 species
CUAGGAUUGCCUAUAAAUAGACCU